rnacentral:rRNA from 1 species
CCUGAAACCGUGUGCUUACAAGUAGUCAGAGCCCGUUAAUGGGUGAUGGCGUGCCUUUUGUAGAAUGAACCGGCGAGUUACGAUUUGAUGCAAGGUUAAGCAGUAAAUGUGGAGCCGUAGCGAAAGCGAGUCUGAAUAGGGCGUUUAGUAUUUGGUCGUAGACCCGAAACCAGGUGAUCUACCCUUGGUCAGGUUGAAGUUCAGGUAACACUGAAUGGAGGACCGAACCGACUUACGUUGAAAAGUGAGCGGAUGAACUGAGGGUAGCGGAGAAAUUCCAAUCGAACCUGGAGAUAGCUGGUUCUCUCCGAAAUAGCUUUAGGGCUAGCCUCAAGUGAUGAUUAUUGGAGGUAGAGCACUGUUUGGACGAGGGGCCCCUCUCGGGUUACCGAAUUCAGACAAA